CCUACGGGAGGCAGCAGUGGGGAAUAUUGGACAAUGGGGGGAACCCUGAUCCAGCGACGCCGCGUGAGUGAAGAAUUAUUUCUGUAUUUAAAGCUCUAUCAACAGGGAAGAAAAUGACGCUACCUGACUCAUAAUCCCCGUCUCACUACGUGCCAGCAGCCGCGAUAAUACGUAGGGGGCAAGCGUAAUCCGGAUUUACUGGGGGUAAAGGGAGCGUAGACGGUGCAGCAAGUCUGAUGUGAAAGGUCGGGGCCCAAACCUGGGACUGCAUUGGACACUGUUGAACUGGAGUACAGGUGAGGUAAGCGGAAUUACUAGUGUAGCGGUGAAAUGCGUAGAUAUAA
rnacentral:rRNA from 1 species